rnacentral:rRNA from 1 species
UACGGAGGAUGCGAGCGUUAUCCGGAUUUAUUGGGUUUAAAGGGUGCGUAGGCGGUUUUUUAAGUUAGUGGUUAAACGUCGGGGCUUCACCUUGAUUUGCCAUUAAUACUGUAAGACUCGAGUUCAGACGAGGUAGGCGGAAUAAGUUAAGUAGCGGUGAAAUGCUUAGAUAUAUGGAAGAACACCAGUGGCGAAGGCGGCCGCCUGGCCUGUUGCUGACGCUGAGGCACGAAAGCGUGGGGAGCAAAUAGG